GUAAUUUAUUCCAAGAUUUGCUCUCAAAAGUCGUGUAGAUGUGCUAGGCUCUGCCUUUGGUUGAUAAAUGGCCAGCGUGCAGGUUUUUCUUCUCCAAAGGCAUCACCUUCUGUGCUGGCUGCAUCUCAUCCUUGGCACGGAUCAAACAUAAGGCUGUAUGCUUACAAGUUUCAGCUGUCUGAAGGAGACAGUCCAGGAUAUUAAUGAACAUACUUCUGCCAUGGAAGGCAAGGAGAACUGAGUUGUGGGAUGGAUAAACACGUUGCCAAUUGCCACACAGGAAGCCCUCAAGAGAACUGGAGGAAGCUCAGAUUUGCUGAAUGUGAUAUUGAAUUCAAAGAAUUCAAAGAAUUCAAAGAAUUCAUCUGAAUGGCUGAACUAACACAGUGUCUUAGGAUCUCCAGCAGAUCACACACUACCUGAGCUCUCAGGAGCACGAACUACUCUGUCAGGAAAUAUAAACCUCUUUUUAUGUGUGAAGUGAAACCUGUGAGGUGUAACAUCUCCUACAGCUCUGGGGGAACUCCUGACUGUGGAUACGGUCCUCUGCUUUCCUGGAGCAGGUCUAGAGCAUCACCCUCCCUUCAGCUGAGUGAUACAAGGGGUCACCACCACCUCUGAGAUUUCCCUGACCCAAUUUGUAAAGCUGACUCUGAAAGUAAACAUGCACCACAGCUGUACCGCUGCCUUUUUGUCAUCUCAUGCUAUAAGCAGCAGCAAAGCACGGGGUUCAGAAUACUGUGUACAGAAUAUCCAAUAUAGAGGUGAAUCAAAGCAGUCAUGGUGGGUUUUUUGAUUAUGUUUUUGGUUGUUUUUUGGAAGUCUUAAUUCUUGCAUUCACAUGAUCAUGGGACCGUAUUUGAUUUAAUUGGUGAGAGACCCUGAAAUCUUGUAUAGAGAGAAGUGUAUAUAUGUAAAAGUGUAUUUUAUAUAUGCAUAAAAAUGUAUUUAUGUUUAUAUAAAAAUGUAUAUAUGAUAUGUCUAUACAUGUGUCCUACCACACCAAGAAAGAACAAGAUUUUCUAGUGAGCCCUUUCAAGGGCUUUCAAGGGCUCUUUUAGUGUUUAACAGUUUUGGAAGAAAGUUGGGACUCUCUAGCGCAGUUGGAAGGUGCAGUUGGAAGGGUCUGAACAGCCACAUACACUGCUUUCUUGUCCUGCAAAAUCUUUCUUCAGAGGCAGUGACAUAACUUGAACAGAGAGGGUUGAAGUUUUUUCCAUACUUGAAAUGCUAGUAAAGGAAAAUUCUUCAUAUCUUGAAAAAACAUCUUAAUAUCUUGAAUUAAAAAAAAAACACGUGGGAUGAAUCUUCUAAGGAUGGAAGGAUUUGAAUGUAAUUUUCUCCUAUUCCGAAAGACUUCCCUACUCUGUAAGCACUGAGGGAAGCAGUAGGUGCUGCUGCAUUCUUGGUGGAGACAGAUGACCUCAAUGUUUGCAUCACCUUUUGUGAUUGUAAAUUGCCUCAUCAGCAUCUAAAUUAGCUUAAUAAACCUUGACUCCUAAUUUACACUAGAUCUUGCAUUUGAAGAGGAAACUAAAUCUUCAGUGGAAGGAAUGGAGAAAGAAAGGAAGGAAAGAAGGAAGAAUCUUUCUAUUCUGUUUUUAGCAUUACCAGGACUGUGCAUACUGGCCAUAACAGACACUGCCUUCUUUGGACUACUGAUGAAAGAAGAUUUCGAUGCUUGAAUGGAGAGAUUUCUUCACUGCAGUUUUGCUCUUGUUUUUGAACCAUCUUGAUGCCUGCUUUCUCUUUUUGAAACUUUUCAGUUCCUUUUCCUUUGCAAAUGUUCCACAUUUCCAAAAUCAGAUUAUUGAGAAAAAUCUUCCCUUUGGAUAAAAAUCCUUGUGUAUAGCAGAAGAAAAUAUGGCAGAACAGUCUGCAAUAGCAUUUGAAGAAAGCUUGUCAGAUCUGUAUUCUUGGCUUCAAUACUUUAAUACUCUACAUUGUUGCUGUUUAAACCACUCAACAGCUUUGUGCCUCAUUGUGUAUUACAGUGAUGUCAUACAUAGCAUCUUAUUUUUCCCUUUCCUUCUCUUACUUUCUUUUUCUGAACUUUGUGCUUUGCAUCACACCAAACAGUUUCCACUUGCAGGAAAUGCGGUCUGUCAAGUGGUAUUGUUUACUUAGACAAAGCCCUGGAUGUUAGGUGUUACAGGCUACGGCAAGCCUCACAUCAUCCUGUUUCUUCUUUAACAAGCACACUUAGAGAAAUACAGAGGUAAGAAUGAAAAUCCCACCAUAAUUAUUACAGCUUAGACUCACCUGAGUAAUAUUCACAGCUCUGAUGGCAAUGGCACUGGGCUUCUGAUGGCAGUUCUGUAAUUCUAACAUUCACAAAAAAAAAUCCUGCUUUCCUUCAUUUGAGAUUCUUCAUUUACUUAAAGAAAAUAAACAACCACCACCCCAGAGCCAAGCUCCAAGCAAAAGGUCCUCAGAAGCCUUAAGUUCUUGGGGAACAGACUAAUGGGGACAUUGAGGUCCCUCUAGGCUGCCCAAGGGUCUUUUUACACAAGUCCUGGCCUGCUAAGCCUCUUGUCUCCAAAUGCUGUUUCUUUUCCUUUCUUCUCACCAGCCAAAUUAUAGCCUUCUCCUCGAUAUCUCCCCGUCCUUUGUUUUUCCUUUCAAUUAAUCCCUUCCUGCUUUUCCCUGGCCCUUUCUGUGCUACACAUACACACACUUUUCUAUCCAGGGAAGUUAAUUUAGAUUAAGGGAAAAGAUGAUUUUGAAAAUGAAUAGUUUUCCCUGAAAAACUCCAUGUGGAGAUGCCCUAAUUCUGGAAUAAAAGGGUUUUCCAAUGAA